rnacentral:rRNA from 1 species
AUUGAACGCUGGCGGCAGGCCUAACACAUGCAAGUCGAACGGUAACAGGAAACAGCUUGCUGUUUCGCUGACGAGUGGCGGACGGGUGAGUAAUGUCUGGGAAACUGCCUGAUGGAGGGGGAUAACUACUGGAAACGGUAGCUAAUACCGCAUAACGUCGCAAGACCAAAGAGGGGGACCUUCGGGCCUCUUGCCAUCGGCUGUGCCCAGAUGGGAUUAGCUAGUAGGUGGGGUAACGGCUCACCUAGGCGACGAACCCUAGCUGGUCUGAGAGGAUGACCAGCCACACUGGAACUGAGACACGGUCCAGACUCCUACGGGAGGCAGCAGUGGGGAAUAUUGCACAAUGGGCGCAAGCCUGAUGCAGCCAUGCCGCGUGUAUGAAGAAGGCCUUCGGGUUGUAAAGUACUUUCAGCGGGGAGGAAGGGAGUAAAGUUAAUACCUUUACUCAUUGACGUUACCCGCAGAAGAAGCACCGGCUAACUCCGUG